UGAUUGUCCAAACGCAAUUCUUGUGAAGGUUAAGCCAAGAACUGUGUAUGGACAUCAGU
rnacentral:pre_miRNA from 1 species